AUUGAACGCUGGCGGCAUGCCUUACACAUGCAAGUCGAACGGUAACAGGUCUUCGGAUGCUGACGAGUGGCGAACGGGUGAGUAAUGCAUCGGAACGUGCCCAGUAGUGGGGGAUAGCCCGGCGAAAGCCGGAUUAAUACCGCAUACGACCUGAGGGUGAAAGGGGGGGAUCGCAAGACCUCUCGCUAUUGGAGCGGCCGAUGUCAGAUUAGCUAGUUGGUGGGGUAAAGGCCUACCAAGGCAACGAUCUGUAGUUGGUCUGGGAGGACGACCAGCCACACUGGGACUGAGACACGGCCCAGACUCCUACGGGAGUCAGCAGUGGGGAAUUUUGGACAAUGGGCGCAAGCCUGAUCCAGCAAUGCCGCGUGCAGGAAGAAGGCCUUCGGGUUGUAAAGCUCUUUCGGCGGGGAAGAAAUCGCAUCUCCUAAUACGGGGUGUGGAUGACGGUACCCGCAUAAGAAGCACCGGCUAACUACGUGCCAGCCGCCGCCGUAACAC
rnacentral:rRNA from 1 species